rnacentral:lncRNA from 1 species
CCCGUUUUGUUUUCUCUUUAGCACAGUGAAUUGCCGAAGAUACCCUCCACUAAACCUUUUCACCUCUUACCCUUCGUGUUUAUUCCGCUGCGAAUGUUUCGUUCGAUGAGAGAAGGCGUCCAUCUCUGGUUGAUUUCGAACCAGUUGGUUGGCCUGGUUGGGGGGCAGCGAUGGAAGAUCUGUGUUCACUGUUCUACAUGCGUGGGGGGCCGUCGAUUUUCGUUUGGGGAGGAUCGCUGCAUAUCCAGCCGCCCUUUUGGUCUUCAUCUCAUUGGUUUUCCUCUCAGAUGUUGCGUGCGAGGGUUGCCGUUCCAGCUGCGCUUCAUCCUUCUUCUCAUCGCAAGGGUUUAGCUAAAAGGGAUUUCUAGGUUUCGUUAAAAAAGGUUGGUUUUAAGUUAACGUUCUUUUGGUUUUCUAGGUUGGUUUAUUCAUUUGUCAUGUCGAAAAUUGAGCAGUAAGUCAGAAAUUGAGUUUGGUUUUUUUGUUACAGGGAGGAAGAUUGAAGGAAAAAGAACUGGAGUAAUCAAUAUAGGAACCCCAGUUGCUCAUCAAUGUGGUAAUUGAUGUCUGUGUGGCUGAUUUUUUGUUUGCCAGUGGUUUUAGACUCCUCCAUUUUUUAUUUUUAAUGACUCCAGAUCAGAACUAUAAUUCUAAGAGAUGUAGCUAGAAUGAUUGUCCAGAGAUGUAGCAAGACAGAAGGUUGCGUGUUCUGAGAAUUGUGUGUAGAGAAAAUAUACUAUCUUUUCUCUUCUUAAUGCUGCUUAAUUGUUGUUUUGCUUUAGCAUAUUUUUUUAUGAACAUAGUCUCAUCCAACUGGAGAAAUUAAUAUAGGAACCCUCUGCAUGUGCAUUUUUUAUUUAUUAAUUAAGGGUCGAGAUUAUGAAUGACACCUGUCAUUAUUAGUUUUCAGAAUUCUUCCCUUUUUACUUUCGACAAAAAGUUCAGAUUGAAACUAUGAUCCCUCAUUCAAAAAGAUGACCAACUAUUUUACACGCCAAAGUUUCUUUAUACUUGGAUGGUAUGUACUUGGAUUCAUUGAAACAAUUGAGAUUGAGUGCCUAUAUCUUAGCAGCUGACUUUGAGCCUUAAAGUUUUCACAUAUUUAUGAUGACCCAGACUUGGGCCCGUUGCAAUAAUUGAGAUUCGGGUGCCUAGGUCUAAGCAGCUGAAUUUGAGUCAUUAAUUUGUCAGAUGUAUAUGAUUUUGAUUGCUCUUCAGGUUUCUUUAUUAGUUAUUUUCCCCUAAUCACAAUUGUUUCGCUUCCAGAAACUAAUGGCAUCUUUCGUUCAUUUUGCAAGAUUGGUGUAUACUAUGGUACUCCACAAGUGACAUCUGGAGGAAUUCCAUUAAAAUUCUUUGCCUCAGUUCGGCUUGAAAUAUGUUCUACAUGGAAGAUAAAGUCUGUAAGAACAAUAGCCAUUGUUUCUUACUGCAUGACAGCUAUUUGAUGGAUGAGUAUAUUUAUCUUUGUAGGUCAUCUAAUAGAGUUUGAUCUAUAUUGUUUGCUCAUAGAACGUACUUCUAUACUGAUUAGGUAAUGGAGAUGGAAGAAAUUGGGGUUCGGGUUCGUGUAAGAGUGCAAAAGAGUAAGGUAAUUUUGAAUGCAUCAAAAUGGUUUCUGCAUUUGUGUGGGUUGUACACCAUGUACAGAAAGAACAUUUCUAUUACUUUUGCCUUUAUGAUUACUUAAGCAGUAAUUGCACUUUCAGUAAAAAUUUCAUAACUGGUAUAAAGUAUGACAAGUUGUCUUGCCAAUUCUUAAAGGUUCUGUCUAAUUUCUCAAAGUUUUUUUUGUCCCAAUUCUACAUUGUGCUAGAAGUGCAGCCUGUGACCAUGAAAACCAUUGUAACAAUUGACAAAUUGUUAAAUUCCCCUUUUGAUUUUUCUAAUGUUAUGAAACUGCUUCCAUCCUUUUUGAAGGCUAAAGGAUUUUGUUAUGAUAUUUGCUUAUGCUUUUGGACGAGAGACUUUUGUCAACUGCAAUCUCUUGAUUCCCAGAUUUUGCCAAACCUUUAUUAAAACUUAAUGAUUGCAGUUAAUUAUAUCUCUUAUUUAAUUUGUUUCAUCCACUUUGUUAUGUUUCUAUUUUGAAAAGAUGCUUAUCUCAUAUUUUGUUGUUGUGAAUUUUCAGUUUUUGCAAGAUGUUAACCAUGUACGAGAGAGUCAAGAAGAGGCUGUGAGUAGAAGUAGGUUCUUUGCAGGCUAGACAAGGUUGAAAAUGGUUUUUUUUCUUUUCUUUUUCCUGUUUUUGUUCGAAACUUUUUGUUCAUAUAUUCUCCCUGAAUUUUAUGUUCAAAGUAGUUAAAUUUUCGUCCAAAAUGUUUUAUUUGUGUUUCUUGAUUUGAAUGAAAGUUUGGUAUUUUAUCCUUCUUUUUGGGUUUCUUUCAUUCAUAGUCUUCGUAUUUUCCUUUUCGUAGUAAACUCUUAUAUCACAAUUCCUGCAUAUAUCAAAACUAACAAAGCUGUGGUGAUUGAGUUAUAGUUUCUAAGUAUGACACAUUUUGAAUACCAAUUCACGUCCUAAAGACAUGAAAAAAUUUGCUAUUCAGUGGAAUAUUUGUUCUUAAAUUUGUUUUACUCUCUGCUUUUUGCUCUUCCGAUUACUUUUUUUUAUACUUAAUGAUCUGCUAUCCAUGACGUGUAAAUAACGUAGUAGCAUAUUUAAAUUCUUCUUAAGGGGUGUUUUGAAUCAAGGGUUGGUUCUAUUCUUCAAGAAGACGUCUAUCUUGGCAAACUAAAUUGAGCUUGAGCUUAUGGGUUAAAUAUUGUGCCAUAUUUUUGUUGCACUGUUUCUUUUAUUAUUCUUAUAUGCAGGGAUGGUUUCUUUUCUUUUCUUUUCAGUUUCAAACAGAUUUACAGUUCUUUUCUCUUGCUUAAAUUUUGUGAAAUAUAUGUAUAUGGAGAGCCCAGAUUAAGAAAUAGCGGUUAUGCAUUAUGUUGCCUUUUUCUUGGGUUUCACGAUGGAAUACAAUGUGUUCAGUUGGUGUUUUUAGCUGAGAUUGUGAUGACUUUCAUUUUGUGGAUUUUCAGUUUUUGCAAGAUGGUAGUAGUGUAUGAGAGAGUCAAGAGAAGGCUGUGAGUAGAAGGCGGUUCUUUGCUGGCUAGACAAGGUUGAAUAUGGUUUUUAUUUUAUUUAUUUUUCCUGUUUUUGUUAGACCCUUUUUGUUCACUUAUUCUCCCUGAAUAUUAUGCCCAAAGUAGUAAAAUAAAUUAUUGCAACUAUUCAAAAGUAUAUUUAUGUUUGGCAUCAUCUCAUGUUGUGUACGAAUUGAGCAAUGAAAAGGUGAAAGAUAAAUUACAGAGAAACAUGUGGUGCAAGUGUUACAUUUGUAUUGUUUUGGUUUCAUUCUUUUGUUGUACUAAUGCCUCAUUGCCUUUGGUUUCACAAGAAGAGGCUAUGAGUAGGAGGUUCUUUCAGGCUAGACAAGGUUGAAAUUUUUUUUUUUCUUUUUCCUGUUUUCAUUCGAAAAGUUCACUUAUUGUCCUUGAAUUUAUGCUCAAAGUAGUUAAAUUUUCGUCCAAAAUGUUUUAUUUGUGUUUCUUGAAUUGAAUGAAAGCUUGGUAUUUCAUCCUUUUUUUGGGGUUUCUUUCAUUUCAUACUGUCUUCAUAUCUUUUGCUUUGUCUUUUCCUCCACUGGUGAUCAGAGACCCAAAAAAAACUACCUUACAAAUGUGAUUAAACUUGAAUUUUCUUUUAAAACUUGUUCAUAGCCAAUUGCUAUUAUACCAUUUUUAAUAAUCUGUUACAAACUUGAUUUUAACCUAUGUAUUUGCUUGAACAUUAAUUUCUCAAUGUUAACACAAGUCUUAUUGAUCAACUCUUAUCGUUAAUUCUGCAAUCUACCAUAGGCUAAUUAGGUCAUUUUAUAUUUCUUGAGUUGCAAGUGUUGUGCUACAAAUUUCAAGUGGAACCAAAUGUUAUUCUACUAAGAUUUAUGAUCCAACUUUAGAUUGUGGUCAAGUAAAGGUAGCUAUCUACACAUAUGCUCAUGAGUCAUAACUACUUCAAUUUAAUAUAACACAUCUGGAAUUAUGUGUAUGCCACCAAAAAGUUUUAGCAAUUAUUUUCUCCAUGGAAAUAAACAAAAAAAAUAUAAUAUAAUUUGAACAUGAAUAUUUGACUCUAUAUUUGACUCUUAACACGUCUUAUUGAUCAACUCUUACUGUUAAUCUGCCAUUUUCCAUGAUUUUGGCCUUCUAUUUAUAUUUAGAAUAUUGAUUGCGUUCAACUCGGAUCUUACUUUUUAGAUCACAACAUCAAUUAAAAUUCAAGAAUGGAUUACCUUUUUAUGGUCUAUUUGUCACUAACAUUUAGAUGUAAUGAACAAAACUAUAAUCUAUAGCCUGUUAUUUCUGCCUCAAUAACUUGUAGGUGUCUAUAGGUUAGUUAUGCUUUUAUAGCUUACUUCUUCAUAGAUUAACUUAGCCUAUAAAUGGCAAUACAUGUAUCAGUUUUGACCAUAUAGAUUAUCUCCGCUUCUGUACAACAAACUUGCGCAUGGUUUGAUUCUGUUAUAGGUAUUUGGUUUGAUUCUAUUAAAGUGUGGAUCUUUUAGUUUCAUUAUGUUGUAGGUAUUUAAUAAUUUGUGCAGUGACUAAAAUUUCCACCAGAUUCGUACAAUGCUUGGCGUAUUUAAAUUGUGGUUUAUGCAGUUGAAUAUAUAUAUAUAUAUAUAUAUAUAUAUUUUGCCUUAAUUCUAUAAUAAUAGCCAUUGUCUUUGUUAAAAUUUUCCCAUUUGUCCACACUAACACCUACCAUUUUUCAAAUUUGUAGCAACAGAAUCAACACCCCUUAAUAUGAUUCUAUUAGAGCUUGGGUGUUUUGUCUAAUUCUCUUAUACCUAUUUAAUAAAUUGUCAUAGUUCUAAAUUUGUCAUCAAUUGAUUAAAUAAACUGAGCUUAUACCUUUGUCCAUCAGAUUAAUAGAAUGCUUGAUGUAUCUACACUGUUGUUUGUCCUGUUGAUUUUUUAACUUAAUUAUGUGAUAGUAGUUAUUGCUUUCACUCAAAUUUUUUCAUUUAUCUCCGCUGACACCUGCCAUUUUCUGAAUUUGUACCAACAGAGUUAAAACCCCUGCAGAAGACAAAAAAGAACAUAAACCACUUCUACAAUAGAGCCAGCAAGAGAUAGAUCCACUUUCAAUAGACAUCAAGGCAGAAAAAUCCCCUUCCCCCACAAAUAGAAUAUAUGUAAAGACAAAACUGCUGAUAUUUUGAUUGUUGCUUGGUUUAUUAAAAUAUUGAUCAUAUUUUAAUAAACAUGACAAGCAACGUAUAAAACAUGUUAUUAGUCUUGAUUUUGUAACUUAAAUUUGCUCAUAUUUUCACAACUUUGUACACAUUUUAUAUGAUUUCAUAACCUGCAGCAUCGCGAUUCUUACCACGAUUUUGUUUUUGAUUGUUGCUUGAUUUUACAAUUAUUUGGGCUCUUUCUGAGAAAACUACUGAUGACUUCAAAUCAAUUAUUAUCACGAUUUUGUUUUCAUU